UAACGAAAGCAGAAGCACCCGCUUCUCACCUGACCGACGCUUAAGUGGCUGUUGGCAGGUUGUUACGGUUCGUCAAUGGUUUAUUCGAACAUCGUGCGCGGGUGCCUUGUGCAUCCGCGCUUUUUUGUUAGG
rfam:Geobacillus thermodenitrificans NG80-2, complete genome.